rnacentral:rRNA from 1 species
CCUACGGGUGGCAGCAGUGAGGAAUAUUGGUCAAUGGGCGUAAGCCUGAACCAGCCAAGCCGCGUGAGGGAUGAAGGUUCUCUGGAUCGUAAACCUCUUUUAUAAGGGAGUAAAGUGCGGGAUGUGUCCCGUUUUGUCUGUGCCUUAUGAAUAAGGAUCGGCUAACUCCGUGCCAGCCGCCGCGGUAAUACGGAGGUUUCGAGCGUUAUCCGGAUUUUGUGGGUUUAAAGGGUGCGUAGGCGGGCUUUUAAGUCAGCGGUGAAAGUCUGUGGCUCAACCAUAGAAUUGCAGUUGAAACUGGGAGGCUUGAGUAUGUGAGAGGCAGGCGGAAUGCGUGGUGUAGCGGUGAAAUGCUUAGAUAGCACGCAGAACACCAAUUGCGAAGGCAGCCUGCCAGGCCAUGACUGACGCUGAUGCACGAAAGCGUGGGGAUCAAACAGGAUUAGAUACCCCGGUAGUC